UUUACGUAGCGUGCCAUUGCUGAAACCGCUACGGUUCAGCGAACACUUUUAUGAGCUUAAUGAUUCCGGAAAAAGCAUUAGACGCGCAUGCAAACUAUGUUAUGCAAAUAAAAGACGUCGAAUGGACCGAACAAAGGCACAAAAGAAUUUGAAAAAAACAACAACUUAUUGUCCAAAUUGUCCCGACCAACCUCAGCUAUGUAUAGAAUGCUUUAGAGUUUUACAUUCUAAAUAAUUUUUUAAUAAACCAUUUUCGUAUUACUUUUAUAACAAUUCAACAGUUUUAUUAUUAUGGAAUAUCUUUUCAAAUACCUACGACGAUCCUUCGCAAGUAGUCAAAUAAGAGACACCCGAAUAUGGGUUACGCGGCCUGACCAGAAAUUUUACUGACACCCGAAUACGGGU
rnacentral:misc_RNA from 1 species